GUCCCCUUCGUCUAGCGGUUAGGACGUCACCCUUUCACGGUGAAAACAGGGGUUCGAUUCCCCUAGGGGAUGCCA
rnacentral:tRNA from 1 species